rnacentral:lncRNA from 1 species
CGUGGCUCGGUACUUGUACAUCCCGUCAUUGUGUUAUUAUUCUAUAAUAAUUCUCGUAUUCUUGUCUCUCAGUUUUAUUAAUGAGUUUUUCCUAUAUCCCAUUUGGUUUUACUUUUAUACAUAUGGCGUGGAUCAGUACAUCCCGUUAUUGUGCUAUUGUAAAUAUUUACUUUCUUGUCUUUUAUUUUUUUUUUAAUAUGCUUUGUCAAUAUGCCCGUUUAUGUUUCUUUGGUAAAGAUAUGACGUGCCUCUGUACUUAUACCACCCGUCAUUGUGUUAUUGCACUACAAUAGAUUUGUGUAUUCUUGUCUUUAAUGCUUGCUAAUAUGGU